AAUAAACGCAACCAUGAGUUUUCGCGCCCAACUUUGAUCGUCCGUAUUAUUUGAAAUUUUUUUAUAAUUAGCAUUUUUGUUGCUAUGAGAUGAUAAAACAUGAAUAUCAUGUUUUUUAUUUUUUUCAAAAAAAUUUCAAAUAAGACGAACGGUCAAAGUUGAGCGCAGAAAACCACGGCUGCACUUGUU
rfam:Oryza sativa (indica cultivar-group) chromosome 8, whole genome shotgun sequence.